CGCCAUGGUGGGGGCGAGGGAGUUAUGCUUUGCUUGUACGUUGAUGACAUACUGAUUUUCGGAACAAAUCUGAAUGUUAUUAAGGAGGUCAAGGAUUUCCUAUCUCACUGUUUUGAGAUGAAGGAUUUAGGAGUGGCUGAUGUCAUUCUGAACAUCAAGUUGUUGAGAGAUGAUGAUGGUGGGAUUACAUUGCUUCAAUCCCACUAUGUGGAAAAGAUCUUGAGUCGCUUUGGCUACAGUGACUGCAAGCCAUCUCCAACACCAUAUGAUGCUAGUGUGUUGCUUCGAAAGAAUCGGAGAAUUGCUAGAGACCAAUUGAAAUAUUCUCAGAUCAUUGGCUCACUUAUGUACUUAGCUAGUGCUACAAGACCU
rnacentral:rRNA from 1 species